rnacentral:rRNA from 1 species
UACCGAAUAAUAACAUCAAUAUCGCAUGAGAAGAUGUAGAAAGUCGCGUUUGCGACGCUUUUGGGAUGGGGGGGUGCGACGUAUCAGAUAGUUGGUGAGGUAAUGGCUCACCAAGUCAAUGACGCGUAGCUGUACUGAGAGGUAGAACAGCCACAAUGGGACUGAGACACGGCCCAUACUCCUACGGGAGGCAGCAGUAGGGAAUUUUUUCACAAUGGGCGAAAGCCUUAUGAAGCAAUGCCGCGUGAACGAUGAAGGUCUUAUAGAUUGUAAAGUUCUUUUAUAUGGGAAGAAACGCUAAGAUAGGAAAUGAUUUUAGUCUGACUGUACCAUUUGAAUAAGUAUCGGCUAACUAUGUGCCAGCAGCCGCGGUAAU